rnacentral:rRNA from 1 species
AUUGAACGCUGGCGGCAUGCUUUACACAUGCAAGUCGAACGGUAACAGGCCGCAAGGUGCUGACGAGUGGCGAACGGGUGAGUAAUGCAUCGGAACGUGCCCAGUCGUGGGGGAUAACGCAGCGAAAGCUGUGCUAAUACCGCAUACGAUCUAUGGAUGAAAGCGGGGGACCGUAAGGCCUCGCUCGACUGGAGCGGCCGAUGUCAGAUUAGGUAGUUGGUGGGGUAAAGGCUCACCAAGCCAACGAUCUGUAGCUGGUCUGAGAGGACGACCGGCCACCCUGGGACUGAGACACGGCCCAGACGCCUACGGGGGGCAGCAGUGGGGAAGUGUGGACAAUUGGCGCAAGCCUGAUCCAGCAAUGCCGCGUGCAGGAAGAAGGCCUUCGGGUUGUAAACUGCUUUUGUACGGAACGAAAAGGUUUGGGUUAAUACCCUGGGCCGAUGACGGAACCGUAAGAAUAAGCACCGGCUAACUACGUGCCAGCCGCCGCCGUAA